UACGGGGGGGGGCAAGCGUUGUUCGGAAUUACUGGGCGUAAAGGGUUCGUAGGCGGCACGUCAAGUCGCGUGUGAAAUCCCCAGGCUUAACCUGGGAAGUGCGCGCGAAACUGACGAGCUUGAGUGCCGGAGAGGGUCGCGGAAUUCCCGGUGUAGAGGUGAAAUUCGUAGAUAUCGGGAGGAACACCAGUGGCGAAGGCGGCGACCUGGACGGACACUGACGCUGAGACGCGAAAGCGUGGGGAGCAAACAGG
rnacentral:rRNA from 1 species